CGCUGUUUCAGUUCAGCCGUUCUUCCUUGUUUAGGAUCGAGUUACGGGUCUUGCAUGCUGAGUUCUAUGACUGUUGCAUGCGACAUCAAGCUGCUGCGUCGUCACCGGAGCUGCCACUGCUCUAUUCUCUGGCUUAUUUGAUUAUAUUUUGGUUCUUGCAUGCCUUUAUAAGAG